rnacentral:rRNA from 1 species
ACAGGUGCUGCAUGGCUGUCGUCAGCUCGUGUCGUGAGAUGUUGGGUUAAGUCCGUAACGAGCGCAACCCUUGUCCUUAGUUACCAGCACGUUAUGGUGGGCACUCUAAGGAGACUGCCGGUGGACAAACCGGAGGAAGGUGGGGGAUGACGUCAAGUCAUCAUGGCCCUUACGGCCUGGGCUACACACGUGCUACAAUGGUCGGUACAAAGGGUUGCCAAGCCGCGAGGUGGAGCUAAUCCCAUAAAACCGAUCGUAGUCCGGAUCGCAGUCUGCAACUCGACUGCGUGAAGUCGGAAUCGCUAGUAAUCGUGAAUCAGAAUGUCACGGUGAAUACGUUCCCGGGCCUU